rnacentral:rRNA from 1 species
CAGGCUUAACACAUGCAAGUCGAGGGGUAGCAGGGUAGCAAUACCGCUGACGACCGGCGCACGGGUGAGUAACACGUAUCCAACCUUCCCAUAACUCGGGGAUAGCCUUUCGAAAGAAAGAUUAAUACCCGAUAGUACUUUUUUAGGGCAUCUUAGAAAAGUUAAAGAUUUAUUGGUUAUGGAUGGGGAUGCGUUCCAUCAGAUAGUUGGUGAGGUAACGGCUCACCAAGUCUUCGAUGGAUAGGGGUUCUGAGAGGAAGGUCCCCCACAUUGGUACUGAGACACGGACCAAACUCCUACGGGAGGCAGCAGUGAGGAAUAUUGGUCAAUGGGCGAGAGCCUGAACCAGCCAAGUAGCGUGAAGGAUGACGG